rnacentral:rRNA from 1 species
UACAGAGGUCCCAAGCGUUGUUCGGAUUCACUGGGCGUAAAGGGUGCGCAGGUGGGCUGGUAAGUUCGAUGUGAAAGCCCCGGGCUUUAACCCGGGAAUGGCAUUGGAUACUACUGGUCUGGAGGAUUGGAGGGGGGACUGGAAUUCUUGGUGUAGCAGUGAAAUGCGUAGAUAUCAAGAGGAACACCAGUGGCGAAGGCGAGUCCCUGGACAAUACCUGACACUGAGGCACGAAAGCCAAGGGAGCAAAACAGG